rnacentral:rRNA from 1 species
UAAAUCGAGAGUUUGAUCCUGGCUCAGGAUGAACGCUGGCGGCGUGCCUAAUACAUGCAAGUCGAGCGCAUCGGCCCAACUGAUUGAAGAUGCUUGCAUCCGAUUGACGAUGGUUUACCGAUGAGCGGCGGACGGGUGAGUAACACGUAGGUAACCUGCCCAGAAGCGGGGGAUAACACCUGGAAACAGAUGCUAAUACCGCAUAGGUCAUUUGACCGCAUGGUCAAAUGAUUAAAGAUGGCU